CACCCAUGGCAGCUGGGGGCUGAGUGCGUGUUCCUAUCCUGUAUCUGUCACACCCAUUUCUGCAGCCCUCCAGACACUCUGAGGAGCUCUCAGUAGCCCCCUCGCCUCUUACUACAGUGAUUGAUUACCCUGCCUGCCAGUAGUUAACACCUCUGCCAUUGCUGAGGAGGAGAAAGUGACAGAGCUGGCCUUGCUCACAGUGACUAUGGACUGCUUGGGGG
rnacentral:lncRNA from 1 species